UACGAAGGGGGCUAGCGUUGCUCGGAAUCACUGGGCGUAAAGCGCACGUAGGCGGCUUACUAAGUCAGGGGUGAAAUCCUGGAGCUCAACUCCAGAACUGCCUUUGAUACUGGUGAGCUUGAGUCCGGAAGAGGUGAGUGGAACUGCGAGUGUAGAGGUGAAAUUCGUAGAUAUUCGCAAGAACACCAGUGGCGAAGGCGGCUCACUGGUCCGGUACUGACGCUGAGGUGCGAAAGGCGUGGGGAGCAAACAGG
rnacentral:rRNA from 1 species